GACGAACCGUGCGAACGUUAUUCGGAAUCACUGGGCUUAAAGCGCGUGUAGGCGGGAGGGCACGUCCGUCGCUGAAAUCCCCCGGCUCAACCGGGGAACGGGCGCGGAUACGACCUUCCUGGAGGGGCGUAGGGGGACCUGGAACUUCCGGUGGAGCGGUGAAAUGCGUAGAGAUCGGAAGGAACACCAGUGGCGAAGGCGGCUACCUGGACAGAUACUGACACUGAGGCGCGAGAGCGUGGGGAGCAAACAGG
rnacentral:rRNA from 1 species